rnacentral:rRNA from 1 species
ACGUAGGGGGCGAGCGUUGUCCGAAUUCACUGGGCGUAAAGCGCGCGUAGGCGGACUAUUAAGUUGAUGGUGAAAUCCCGGGGCUCAACCUCGGAACUGCCUUCAAAACUGAUAGUCUUGAGGUUUGGAGAGGGAAUUGGAAUUCCAGGUGUAGCGGUGAAAUGCGUAGAUAUCUGGAGGAACACCCAUGGCGAAGGCAGAUUCCUGGCCAUAUCCUGACGCUGAGGUGCGAAAGCUAGGGUAGCGAACGGGAUUAGAUACCCCGGUAGUCCUAGCCGUAAACGAUGGAUACUAGGUGUUAGAGGUAUCGACCCCUCUAGUGCCGAAGCUAACGCAUUAAGUAUCCCGCCUGGGGAGUACGACCGCAAGGUUG